rnacentral:rRNA from 1 species
CCUACGGGCGGCAGCAGUGAGGAAUAUUGGUCAAUGGCCGAAAGUCUGAACCAGCCAAGCAGCGUGAAGGAUGACUGCGCUGUGGGUUGUACACUUCUUUUAUCUGGGAAUAAAACGUUCCACGCGUCGGAUUUUGUGUGUACCAUAUGAAUAAGGAUCGGCUAACUCCGUGCCAGCAGCCGCGGUAAUACGGAGGAUACGAGCGUUAUCCGGAUUCAUUGGGUUUAAAGGGGGCGGAGGCGGAUUGUUAAGUCAGUGGUGAAAGUUUGCGGCUCAACCGUAAAAGUGCAGUUGAAACUGGCAGUCUUGAGUACAGUAGAGGUGGGCGGAAUGCGUGGUGUAGCGGUGAAAUGCUUAGAUAUCACGAAGAACUCCGAUUGCGAAGGCAGCUCACUGGACUGCAACUGACACUGAGGCUCGAAAGUGUGGGUAUCAAACAGGAUUAGAUACCCUGGUAGUC